rnacentral:rRNA from 1 species
UACGGGAGGCAGCAGUGGGGAAUAUUGCACAAUGGGCGCAAGCCUGAUGCAGCCAUGCCGCGUGUAUGAAAAAGGCCUUCGGGUUGUAAAGUACUUUCAGUCGUGAGGAAGGUGUUAAGGUUAAUAACCUUAGCAAUUGACGUUAGCGACAGAAGAAGCACCGGCUAACUCCGUGCCAGCAGCCGCGGUAAUACGGAGGGUGCGAGCGUUAAUCGGAAUUACUGGGCGUAAAGGGCACGCAGGCGGUUAAUUAAGUUGGAUGUGAAAUCCCCGGGCUUAACCUGGGAAUGGCAUUCAAGACUGGUUAGCUAGAGUCUUGUAGAGGGGGUAGAAUUCCAUGUGUAGCGGUGAAAUGCGUAGAGAUGUGGAGGAAUACCGGUGGCGAAGGCGGCCCCUGGCAAAGGACUGACGCUCAUGUGCGAAAGCGUGGGGAGCGAAAC